ACAGAAGUAAGUUUUAAUUUUUAUUCAUUGUAUCAACAAUUACUCAUUUCACCAUGCACCAUUUCAAGAUUUUGAAAUUGAAAUUUAGUUUAACCUAGAGAUCUGAAGCAGUGUUUAAAGUUAUGGCCCCAGAAGUCUCCAGAACAGCUUCUGUUGGUUGGGGUAACGGCUUGUGCUGCACUCAGCGAUCAGGCUUCAGCAUGGUCUGGAUAUCUCUUCUUACAGAUCUCUCAGAAACCACUCAGAAUCAAAUUAGUAUUAUGCCUGUAAUCUUGUACUUCUCUGAGGAAAUCAGGUUAUAUCAAUUUACUGAAAUUCAACAUGAAUUUAGGUUGUGGUCAUUGUAUUCAAAGUUAAAGAUGUAAAUUUUAGUCUAAUAAACAACUUUAAAGGUCAAAACCACAUUUUCCAAGUUACUUCAGCUUUAUAUUAAGUUCUUCAGACAAGUAUCUAAUAAGGAUAAAAGUAACCCAAGUAACAGGAAGCAUAAAAAAAAAAAAAAAAUUUAAAAAAAAUUGUCUGCUCUGGUACAAAAGAGGAACCUGUCCCAUGUGACAUCAUGUUCGUCUUGUUAUUGCAGGCAUGUGAGACUUCAUGAUGGUCAGUUUUAGAGAUCAACCUCUGAUAAAGCUUCCUUCAGUCCUGCUUGUGGAUGUCAUUGUGGUAAAUGUGUCCUUUCUGACCCAGACAAAAUAUUAAUGUCUAGCGAGCUUUUUUGUUUCUUUACGUUUUUCACCUUUCUCCCCUUUCACCCCCAGAUUUGACAUUUCCCUGAGUCAGUUGCUCAAAGUUACUUAGGCUAGCAACAAAUUUGUGAGGAAGUGAGAAGAGAUUAUUUUAUAACUGUAAUGGAUAUAUAUGGAAGAAAGGUAGAGCAAUAUAGAAGAAUGAACUUGGAGAAAAGAUAAAAGGAAAGAAAGAAGGGAAUGGAUAUCAAGGACUAUUGAAAUGGGUGUAGAAGGACAACGACUAAUGGGAGCCUAAUGCAUCAUAUUGGAUGGACUUGUACAACCUAAAAUUUCCGGGGUCUGAUGAGUCACAGCCUGACACUUUGCAGCAGCUCAAGGCAGAGACUGAAAGAAACACAACAGCUCACCCCUUCUUCACGUAAAGUCAGAUGCAGUGGUCAGCUCUGUUCUCAGACUCCCUUUUCUUAUAUGUUCUCGCACACUCCGCUGGACAUCGGUAUCCUCUUUCACCAAAAUAUACAAAGUCAUUUAAAAAAGGGGGGGAAGAGGGGGAGAUAGAAAAGGGGUUGACCUAUUUUUUUCCUUUUUUUUUUUUUUU